CGUAUCGAGUGAAACAAACGUGUUUUAAUUUCAUAGGAUUAUAUUAAUGUGAAUUCUAAAAAAUAACAAAGUAUGAGGCUUAUGUUAAAACAUGUGUUAUUUAGUUUAAUUAUACAUUUCGUUAACGGUCAAACUAUUGAUGUGUCUGGCAUUGAUUACAAUAAAGUGACGAAGAACCCUCACAGUUGGGAUUAUUAUUAUACCUAUGGUGAAACUAUCAACUGGAAAUGUGUUGCUCAGACGGAUCACGCAUACUGGAUCUUCCCCUUAAGUCGUUCAGAAUGUUCAGAAGAAAAAUCAACAUUGAUCAGCAUUAAAGGAUUGACAGACAAGAAUGAUGGGCAGAUAGUGAUCUGUGAAUACAGGGAUUACAAAGAAGUUAAAGAAUCGAUUAAAAUUACUUUACGUUAUGUACCGGGUAGUUAUAUUCGAGUUAUUGGCAUUAAUUACGACAAGGUGAAAGCAAGAAGUUUGAACAACUUGGACUAUUACUAUGACGAGGGUGAAAUACUGAAUUGGCGCUGUACCACGACAUACACGUGGUCAAGUACAAAAUGGCUAAAGGCUUGCCAAUCAAUUUCAAUUCCAAUAGACAAUUCAAUAACUAAAAAUGAAUAUAAAUGUGGACUACGGUGUACAUUUGACACUAAUAACUAUGAAAAUAUUGUCAUUACUCUUCAUAUCAAUCCAGUUUCAGGAUAUCAAGUUACUGGUGUCAACAUCAAAAGAUUGCAAACAAUUACACCUAAUGAACACAUAUAUUAUUUUGACAAUAAUGAACAGUUACAUUGGACCUGUCAAAGGACAACCACAUCAGGCGACGUAUACUGGAAAUGCGGGGCAAACUGUAAUCUGAUACCCGAAACAAGACGUUCGACGGAACUCUUAGCAACUGUAUUACAAGCUAAUGAUGGGAUGACAAUUUAUUGUGUGCAUGACAAGGGAAAUGUCAUUCCAGAUUUUAUUACAUAUACACUGAAGUCGAUCUGCAUAUCGACCAUACAAGCAAGAACGUCACCAUUAGUGGUGUCAGUGCCUAAGUCAUCAAAUUAUCUUUUUUACAUAAGUGUGAAGGACAACACACGGCUUUUAGCCAUAGACAAUUCAAAACACAUUUAUUCGUAUAAAUAUUAUGUUGGAGAAAUUGUAGAAUUGGAAUGCACAGCAUACAGAGACAGUGCACGACUACAUUCGCUAAGAUGGGACUACAGUAGUGGUUUCGAUGUGCUCAACCUGACAACCGGUAACAUUAGUACGCUGAAGACAAAGUUAACCCAACGGAAUCAAAAUAAGCAGUUGUUCUGUAAAGACAUACAUGCAGAAGCACACGCCACACUGACACUAAUUUUAUCCGACUACACAUGCCAGAAUCAAAACAUUAGUGUUCCUGCCUUUGGAUGUAAAACAGAAAGGACAUCUUUCUUCAUAACUGGGUUACCUGAACGUCAGGAACUGAACUUUAAGGGCUCCAAAAAAUGCAGUGUAACUCUAGAAUUUACUGAGCCAUUAACUCUUAACCUGACGUGUUACAGACUUCUUAAAAAUCGGAACAGUUACGGUCCAAUAAAAUGGCGGUUUAAAGAUCAAGAUCUCCAAACGGGCGAUUUUAAUGGUUGUAACGGCACAGUUCACCAGACAUUCAACGUUACUGAUGAAGAUGAUGGGCAGGAGAUCGUGUGUGAAAUAAAAAGUGAUGAAGAAGGCGGUGAUGAAUAUGAAAUCAAAUUAGGGUUGAAGUAUGAACCCCCUCCCACCACCGCCCCGACGACUGGUGUGAUUUCUGCCGGAAUUGUAGAUCAGCCAAUUUUAAUGACGAGGUAUAAACGAGGUCUUUAUCACUUAAGAAGUCAAGAUAAACAGACUAAAAAUACCGUAAAUGAAAUAGAUAUGGAAGUGAAUUUAAAUAAAAAUAUUUAUAUUUGUAACGUAAAAGAUAAAUACAUAAAUGUGAUAAAUGAAGAUGAGAUAACUAUAAAUGUUCAAAGCAAGAACCGUAUCGACAAGUUGUGGUGUUUCAAUGAAAUGAGUGGCACUCAGAAUAUCAUAGAGAACAUAGAUGAGAACAACAACAACCACAUAUAUAUAAAACAAAUAACUGUAAAAAACUCCUUGCAAGGCAUAUGGAACUGUACUUUCUUGGGGCGUCAACAUAGUUUCAAUUCGUCUUGGUCACCGAAAUAUACAUACGACAAAAAGACAUAUCUUAAGACGAACUGUUCUCUAAAUGUUACUGUAAUCGAUCGUCCUACUUCUAACGAUGUAAUUGAUGAUUACCAAGGCGAAGACUCUUCAUCAUCACCUGCUAGUGAAGAACACGAUGAGCAAAAUAGUAUGAAAGAGAUUAAAUUCCAUAUGAAGAUUAAAGACAAAACUUACAAAUGUGACGUCGAACCGGAAGCGAUACAUUUAAAAGAAGGAGAGGACAUAAAAAUUAUCGUCACCAGCAAAAAAUUCGUCAACCACUUUUGGUGUUUUUCGGAAAAUGACAACAGUACUAAUAUUAUGAGCGAUAUUAUCACAAAAGAGACAGACAAAAAAGGCUUAUAUUACAAAUUGGGAGCCGUGACAAGAUCUAUGGAGGGAAAGUGGAACUGCACAUUUCUAGGACUCCCGCUGUACAAUUAUGGACCUACGUAUAAAUUCAAUGGAUUCACAUAUUUACGGGCAAACUGUAAUUUGAACGUCUUUGUUGAACAACUGCCUUCAUCUACAAUUUCUCCUACAAUUCCUGUUUCUACCUACGAGGACAGUAUAAGUAACGCAAAUGAUUCCAGUAAUUAUGAAAUUGCUAACAUGAUAUCAUUUACUAUUGAUAUAAUAAAGAAUACAUUCAUGUGUGCAGUUAAACCAAAAAGCAUAGAUUUGAUAGAAGGAGAAAUGUUGACAAUCAAAAUCAACAGUAAACCAUACAUCAAUUAUAAAUGGUGUUUUUCAGGAAAUGAUACCAGGACAAAUAUUGCCGAAGAUAUUGAAGAACUGAAUGAUGAGUCUGACGUACAUACGUUCGUUAAAUAUGUGGAUGUGACAACAUCAUUGGAGGGAAAAUGGAACUGCAGUUUCUUAGGUUUUUGGAAUGCACCAGAUAUUUUCAAGCCAAGAUUUACGUACAACGGAUAUCAAUACUUAAGAACUAACUGCUCUUUGCAUAUCAAUGUUAAACCACGAUCGACAACUAUAGUAGAACCCACUUCUACGGUUCCAAUCACGUUAUCUACUACUACUACAAGUUCGAUUUCUACAUCUACGAACUCAAGUACGAUUUCUGCGGUUACUCUCCCAAGUUCCACUCCAUCGAGUUCAUCAGCUUUUAUAACUAACAAAACUGCCGAUUCUCGUAGCGGUGAUAGGAGUAGUAAAAGUAGAAAAAUAAAUAAUAAUAUACGCAAAGGUCAGUGGACUACUCGAAAGCCUAUACCAACGACCUCUAGGAGUUCUAGAACAACAACUCUGUCAACAACAACUCUGUUAACAACAACUCUGUCAACAACAACUCUGUCAACAACAACAUCAGUAACCACCACAACAAAACCGACAACUCAUUUCAACAAAAAAAAUCCUAACACUGUCACUCCGAUGCUGGUUUUUUUUCAGAGCUCAGUGACAAAACAGUUACUGAUAGUACUACGGGGUCCGAUAAAGAAAAUGAACCUACUGGUACAGGAAUCUCAAUGAUGUUAAUAUCAUAUUGCUUCGCGGGAAUAGCUUGUGUGUUAAUUCUGAUAGUGCUUGUAUGCGUCUUGGUCAAGCACAUUAAGAGAAGCAAGCGGAUAAAGAAAUCAACAACAGACGUGACCUACGAAAACCUGAGCGGCGACACCAACCGUCAGUUCCCACCGAACUUGGAAGCGUUGUACGCUAAACCUUAUGACACCAGGUCCUUAGAAGAGGAAUCCCCUUACGCCGUAACUUCAU
rnacentral:misc_RNA from 1 species